GCCCGUAGCCCAGUGGUAGCGCGCCCGUGCUUCGGCCGAGAGGGCGUGGGUUCGAAUCCCCUCUCUGCA
rnacentral:tRNA from 1 species